UAGGGAGAGAGAGUUCUAAAAGGGAACCAUGGAGAAGGUGGAGGCGUUGCAAAUCACCCCUCUGCAACCAAUCUCAGGUGGAGAAGAAGCUAUACAACUCCGACGAGGCUCAAAUUUAGACCGAUUAACGCCGGCGAUCGUUUGAUUGAGCGUAAAUACUUCUCUGUUCAAAACUGGAGCACCAGUUGUACCAAUUACGCUUUUGGGAACUGGCAAUGUUAUGCCUACUGGGAUGGAAAGCACAUUGAAUUCGGGAACCGAGAAAGUUGUCAUUCACAAGCCUAUAGAUGGAACAAUCCGGAGAUAUUGUGUGAGAAGGCAAGAAAUACUAUAGCAGAUGUUCUCAUUCAUCAAAGCUGAGUUGUGCAUUGUGUAAUUUUUGUUUAGUUUUGCACAUCCCUAAUUUAUGGUGUAGAGGAGAAGGUUUAAUUUGAAAGGAAUAAAUUAAUUGCAACCGCUUUCUUCUC